GCCGGAUACAGUGGCAUGCACCUGUAGUCCCAGUUACUUGGGAGGCAGAGGCAGGAGAAUCGUUUGAGCACAGGAAUUCUGGGCUCUAGCGUGCUAUGCCAAUCAGGUGUCUGCACUAAAUUCAACAUCAGUGUGGUGAUCUCCCAGGAGCAGAGGACUACCAGGUUGCCUAAGGAAAAGUGAACUGCCAGGUUGGAAAUAAAAGAGGCCAAAAUUCCUGGGCUGGACAGCAGUGAGAUCACACCUGUGAACAGUCUCUGCACUCCAGCCUAGGUUACAUAGCAAGACCCCAUCACA
rnacentral:SRP_RNA from 1 species